AUCUGAUUGCUUUAUAAUCAGUAAGGCCUGCUCAAUGAACUUUAAAUAGCCGCGAUUUACGUGCUAAGGUAGCAUAAUCAAUUGCCUUUUAAUUGGAGGCUAGAAUGAAAGGUUUUACAUAUAAAAUACUUUAUUAAUUUUAUUUCUUUAAACUAAUCUAUAAAUAAAAAAGCUUAUAUUACUAAGAAGGACGACAAGACCCUGUCGAGCUUAACUUUAGUUUCACUGGGGAGGUGAAAAAACUAUUUCUUUUUUUCUUCUUUAAAAGAAAAAUAGAAGAAAGAACUUUGAACUAGCUACCGCAGGGAUAACAGCACAAUUAAUUUUAGGAGAUCUUAUCUUAAAAUUAGUUUAUGACCUCGAUGUUGAAUUAAUCUACCUUUAGGAGAAGAAGCUUAAAAGGAAAGUCUGUUCGACUUUUAAAAUUUU
rnacentral:rRNA from 1 species